AGGGGCCCAGGGACACAGCCAGGGACACUCACCAAAUCCUCAGGGUCAUUAAUCACGGCACCACAAGAAAUAACUCAUUCAACACACACUGAACGGGGAUAACUACUACUACUACUACUACUACUACUACUACUACUACUACUACAAGACGAAAUUAAGAAAAUUGAAGCCUUCUCUCAGACAUGAACAAAGAAGAGCAAUUCUUGACAAACAGGCAAACAAACAAACAAACAAACAAGGACAGCGUUGAGUCUCGCAGGUCACGCCAGUCUCUCGGAAACUGUUGCUUGCUUCACCUGGCAAUUGUGAACCACCUAGCAAAAACCGAGCCACCCUAUUGAUUGACAGGGGAUCACCAUCAGCCCUCCCAUUGGCCCAGAGCUUCGUGGAUUGUGAUUGGACGGCUGGCUGGCUGAUCUGACUUGACCUGACCUCAACUGAGCCAGCAUGAUUUACGUUUUCCUCGUUGACACGGGCACCAUGAUGACCUUUGACAUGAACCUGGCACUAGAGAGUGUUGAGGUGGUGAAGGGUGCAAUACACAAUGUUGUCAAGGUGCCCCCAGACAAGCAGGUGCUGCUGGCCUCUGGGGGUGAAACACUGGACUCCUGCAAGCGGGUGUGUCAUUACUCGGCCGGCACAGACAUGUCCUCCAUCUUUCUGUUCUCCAAGGUGGCCAUUGAGGGAGCAGCCCCCCAACCCCCUCUGUGCAGUCUGGCAGGGACGGCGACCUCAGGGCACAGGUGGAGGGGUGCCUCAACAUGCCAGCCACCUACAACAGUGUGGUGGCGCGGACACAGUUAGCACAGCAGUUUUACGAGCACGCCAGUGAGGUCACCAGAAUGUGCCGCCAACUUGUUCACAACCAGCAUCUGCAGCAACAAGGCUGGGCAGUAGUGGUAGGCAACUUGGAAGACAUUGUGGCAGCCUUCAGAGCAAGACAUGAUGCAUUCCAGCAAAACUUUGUAAUCUCAGUGGCCGGGAGGAGAAGGUGUGUGUGUGUGUGUGUGUGUGUGUGUGUGUGUGUGUGUGUGUGUGUGUGUGUGUGUGUGUGUGUGUGUGUCAAGGUUGGAGGAGAGGUGGAGGGAACAUGGAGGAAGGUCUGCGAGGGAGGAGAAGCCUGCAGGUAACUUGUGGGAGAUAUGGAGGAGAGAAGAGAGGUUGGUGGAGGGAAAAAUGUGUGGUUGUCAUGUCAGACUAUCUAACAAAAGCACUAUUUUAAUCAUGAAGCAAGUGUUGCAGGAUAGUCAGGAUUGGAGGAAAGAUGGAGGGAGCAUGGAGGAAGGUCUGCGAGUGAGGAGAAGCCUGGAGAUAACUUGUGAAGGGAGAUAUGGAGGAAAGAAGAGAGGGAGGUGGAGAGAAUGUCUUGCAUAUUUUUUUAUUAUUUACAAGUUUCUCCUACAGUUGUGUGUGACUCUUUACUCUUCCUGGCAACUCACCAAUGGGGAGAGGAGGAGGAGGAGGAGAAGAGAGGAGAGAGGAGGAAAGAGAUAGAAAAAUGGUUGGAGAGUGUGUGUGUGUGUGUGUGUGUGUGUGUGUGUGUGUGUGUGAGGGGGUCACUUAUUGGUGAGGGACUGUGGGGAGUCACUGUGGGUUUGUAAGCAUACUGUGGGGGGACAUACUGUGGCACUGUGGGCUGAGGUGAGGUGAGGUGAGAGAGAGAGAGAGAGAGAGAGAGAGAGAGAGAGAGAGAGAGAGAGAGAGAGAGAGAGAGAGAGAGAGAGAGAGAGAGAGAGAGAGGGGAGGGGGCAGCAUGAGUGAAACAAAGCAGAUGUUGAUUGUUGAUGAUGCAGGGGAGAGGUGUUGUUGUUAUUCAGUGUUCUUCAUUGCACGAGAUGUUGUUGUUGUUGUUGUUGUUAUUGAUUGGCAACCAAGCCUGGCUGGCGUGGGCCUUGUCAUGUGGCCCACAGGUAAUUCUUAGUGGUCAGUCUAUCUCGGUGAGUACAGCUGAGCGCUGCCUGAUUGCACGAGAGGUAUUGUUCAUAGUUGUUCAUUGUAGGUGAGGGAAGACACAGUAUGUUGAGGGAAGGCAGCAGCUGUGGAGGAGUGAACAGCUGCACCACUGACAGCAGCAGCAGCAGCACCAGUAGCACUGCUGAAUACUUCUACUACCACUACUAACUACUGCUGAUGUUUUUCUCCUCCUCCCAGCACAGCAGCAGACUCGGGUACUGUUACAGCUCUGCUCCCUCCUUCAGGACACGUUCCCAUCACCUUCACGUCCUGGACACGUGCACAAACUUGUGCCUGGGCAGUCUCACUGCAGCAACUGCCAGUGCUGUGGCUGGGUGGCAGGAGGGAAGGACAAGCUGGCCACCCUCUCUGUCACCACCUGCUGGGGAAAGACCACCACUAUCAUCAUCAUCUUUGUUUUCCUUUUUUUGUUUUCUUUCACAAUUUACAAGGAAUAUUAACAGUUUGUUUUGUUAGUGUUGUGUUUGUUAUGAAAUGAUGUGUUGAUUGUGUUGUUGUUUAUGUGUUAGUUGUUGUUGUGUUUUAUAUGUGUGACUGAUGAAUAAAGGCAGUCCACACU